rnacentral:tRNA from 1 species
GUUAAUUUGGCAGAGUAGUGCGUUAGAUUUAGGAUCUUUUAAUGUAAUUGUUUACAUUUAACA